rnacentral:rRNA from 1 species
UACAGGGGGUGCAAACGUUGCUCGGAAUCAUUGGGCGUAAAGCGCACGUAGGCGGUUCGUUAUGUCGGAUGUGAAAGCCCUUGGCUUAACCGAGGAAGUGCAUCCGAAACUGGCGAGCUAGAGUACGAAAGAGGAUCGCGGAAUUCCCGGUGUAGAGGUGAAAUUCGUAGAUAUCAGGAGGAACACCGGUGGCGAAGGCGGCAUCCUGGACCGACACUGACGCUGAGGAGCGAAAGCCAGGGGAGCAAACGGG